UACUAGCACGCUUUUAGCAGUUACUUGUUAGAUAAAAUUCUCUCUGUUACCUACUUACGAAAUAUUUAAAAAUCUGUUAGUCCUUUUUACUGAUUCAUAUUUCCCUCGUAAAUAGAUAUUAUCUACAAGAAAAAUAUAAUAAAGUAGUUUUGUUGGCUUUACUUGUAAGCUUUGAACUUUGAUUUCAUUCAGCCCGUCAGCAAAAACCGUGUAAGUCGCGUUUCAACCGUCACUCUUACUGUGCGUCUGCGUUGAAUCGUUAAAUUUGCUGUUUCGUGUGUAUAAUUUUAAAGUAAUGAGUUCGAGAUCUAGAAAAAUGUUAAACCUUGUAUGUGGAGAAAGUAAUAAUACGAAAAAAGCGGGUGACUAUAAAAAUACCUACCCAGUCAGUGUAAAUGCGGAAGAAUCUAGCCCAUCGGAGUUGACCAUGAUAACAGUAGAGGAUCUUCAGACCUAAACGAAUCAGCCACUAAAACCGCAGACUUUUUGUAUGACGUUAUUAUUUGAUUUUGGUUAUGUUAAAUUUUAACAACAUUGAUGAUGAUGAUUGUACUAUUUGGUAUUGUUUUUAUACAUAAUAAAGUAUUAAAGCCGACAAAAUUGUGUUUUAAACUCGUUUUACCAACAUAUUUGUAACAUUUUAGUGAGUUAUGGGAUAUUUUAAUAUUAAAUUAAAAGCAACUAACCCAAUAUUAAGUAAUAUUUAGGGCACUUAAGUAGUAAAGUUAAAAAAUCUUUACAGUAAAAACCAUUUAUUUGCACCACCUCUCGCCCUAAUUCCUUAAUUUAUUCUAGUAUUUCGAGGAUUUGCUUUUAUUGUACUAAUUACCUUUAAAGCUUAAUAAAUAAGUAUUAAAAAUACAUGAACAGAUUCUUGAAAGGUUACAAUCUUAAUAGUGAUUUGACAGUGCAAACCUUUAAACGUCAAUUUCUCGAAACUUAAUGUCAUGCACUUAGUUGGUUUUUGCAGUAA